CGUACACUCCUGCGGGAGGCAGCAGUGGGGAAUUUUGGACAAUGGGCGAAAGCCUGAUCCAGCCAUGCCGCGUGCAGGAUGAAGGCCUUCGGGUUGUAAACUGCUUUUGUACGGAACGAAACGGCCUUUUCUAAUAAAGAGGGCUAAUGACGGUACCGUAAGAAUAAGCACCGGCUAACUACGUGCCAGCAGCCGCGGUAAUACGUAGGGUGCAAGCGUUAAUCGGAAUUACUGGGCGUAAAGCGUGCGCAGGCGGUUAUGUAAGACAGUUGUGAAAUCCCCGGGCUCAACCUGGGAACUGCAUCUGUGACUGCAUAGCUAGAGUACGGUAGAGGGGGAUGGAAUUCCGCGUGUAGCAGUGAAAUGCGUAGAUAUGCGGAGGAACACCGAUGGCGAAGGCAAUCCCCUGGACCUGUACUGACGCUCAUGCACGAAAGCGUGGGGAGCAAACAGGAUUAGAAACCCCUGUAGUCCCAUGA
rnacentral:rRNA from 1 species